AUGUGAGUUCCUCUAGCUUCUGUUCCUGGAUCUGUUUCAGCCCAAUGGUCCUUAGCAUUUGGAUGGCUUCAAAGCGAUGCUGAGGGGCCUCAGGAAACCCAAGCACAGGGCUGCCUCCACAGCAAUUUCGUUCGAUGACUUCUUGAUCAGCGUCUGCAGCACAGACACCAACUUGUCUUCCUUUCCGACUUGCAUCCUCUGAGAGGGAAACAAGGAGAAUUCAAGCUCUUUGUGAGUUCCUGCCAUUCCAUGGAAGCCAGUGGGAAGGGAAAAAAAAAAGGACAAAUAGAGUUGGCAGAACUUCAAACUAAAAGACAAUUACCCAGUCCGAUCCCCUGUGCCUCCCCUUUCUCCACUUUGCUGACUGGAACUGUGAGCUGCUGGAUUUGAACCCAAGCUCAUCUCCAAAGAGUUGAUGUACUCCCGCACCCAUUUUUUCUCUGGAUUGGCACACACCUGCCGGUUCUUUCGGGUAACGAAGCUGUGGGAGAAGAGAAGGAGGACAGAGAGAAAUGGAGAGAGGAGGGAAGACAGAGAAGGGUAGAGAAAGACACCUGAAGACCUGCUUCAUCGCCUGUGAAGAGAUUGCCCUGCAGGUGGGGAGUCGGGGCUCAAAGCGGGAUUCUUACUCCGGUCCUUGCGCUUUGCGCCACCUGUGUUUAGCCCACCGCACUACCGCCAGACUCCCAUCUUUUUCUAUUUCUGUCUGUUUUUAAAUCUGGGGAAAAAUGCCAUCCUGUUUGACUUCUCCCACUCACCCCACCCUGUGCCGUUUUGAGCCUAAAUGCUUCUGUUAAGAAUGAGGAUUUCAUCCUUCCUUUACUAAUGUUUGUUCUCAGGGACACUGCUUUC